rnacentral:rRNA from 1 species
GACGAACGCUGGCGGCGUGCUUAACACAUGCAAGUCGAGCGGAAAGGCCCUUCGGGGUACUCGAGCGGCGAACGGGUGAGUAACACGUGAGUAAUCUGCCCUUGGCUUUGGGAUAACUACCGGAAACGGUGGCUAAUACCGGAUACGACAACCGUCUGCAUGGGCUGGUUGUGGAAAGUUUUUUCGGCCAGGGAUGUGCUCGCGGCCUAUCAGCUUGUUGGUGGGGUAAUGGCCUACCAAGGCUUCGACGGGUAGCCGGCCUGAGAGGGUGACCGGCCACACUGGGACUGAGACACGGCCCAGACUCCUACGGGAGGCAGCAGUGGGGAAUAUUGGACAAUGGGCGGAAGCCUGAUCCAGCAACGACGCGUGAGGGAUGACGGCCUUCGGGUUGUAAACCUCUUUCAGUACCGACGAAGCGCCGAUGAUGGUGGUGACGGUAGGUACAGAAGAAGCACCGGCCAACUACGUG